AGCGCCUUUUUCUAGGCGUACUUCCAGUGAAAGCCAUUUGUCUGGUGAUGGCUCUUGCCGCAGACUAAAGAGGAAAGUCCUGAAACCAAGACUAUGUCUCAUCCAGAAUGCCAACUGCGCGGUGAUGCGGUAGCAAACAGGUGCUUGUGUACAUGAGUCUAUUGUGGCACGGACCGCUACGCCAGCUUACCAGUAAAGUGGGGGCACAGUCACAAGACAGGUUGGGCGUCAGAGGUGUCGCCGAUAUUGUCACAAGAAAUGGAAACUAAAUGGUGUGGUGUUCAUUUUCUGUAUUUUGAUGUCUAGAAAAUGGAUGUAUGGAGCCUUUGACUAGAUGGCGGAAUCCAGCUGAAGACACUGGUUAGUUUGCUUUCACAAGACUAGUGGUACAUUGAUAUGAAACGUCCGCUUAAUGUUGUUUAAUCAAAAUAUGAUCGAAACUGUUUGCACUUUUAAGUUAUACAUCCGAUGGGCAGAUGUACAAUUCAGACGACGGAGGAAGCAGACUGUUGAUGACUGAUCAAAACUCAAACAGCAAGUAAAGUUAAGUGAGUUCUAGUUUAGGAAAAAGUCCUGCUCUCUCUGAAUAUUCUCUUUAUUGUCUCUUAUGGUGCAUGCCUUUUUCUCUGGUAAUACUCGACACUAUUUUCUGUAGCCCGUGUCCACCACUGCUGCUUUUUCAUAUUAUAUCUUUUUCUACUGCGCGAGCAGUGUUUGUGAUUGUGUGUGUCGUUUGUGCAGUUUUGGACAUGUACUUAUGUUUUUCUCUUUUACUUUCUGUACAGUAACCCAGGAGUAAAGUAAAUAUGACCGGACACAGUGCUCUGACUGGUUUGUUUUUAAAUUAAAGUAAAAUGUUGUCUCUUUGAAGUUGAAUCAAUUUUAUUCAACAACCUUUAAAUUGUGUUUUAAUGGCAGUGGUUUUGAAUUCUUGUGGGUGGCAUUUUAUAACUUUUUUCUUGAAGAUGUCCUUGCAUUUUGUUCUUGUUUGUUUUGAUUAUCGCCAUUUAAUUUUAUUUUACAAGGAUUUGACCUGAUUUUGAUUUCUGCCUUCCCUCUUGAGUUUUGUCUUUUGAUACCUAGGCACUGGAUUAAGGAAGCAUUUUAAUAACUGGGCAAACUUCGGAGACGUCAGUUGAUGCCAUCGCCGUUGGAGAUAAAUUUGUACACUCAGAAGGAUAAAGUGACUACUGGACCGAUCAGGAUUAAUUAACUACGUACCACAGAAUUACUUGAAGACUAAACAAAAGGUACUGUUUGCGAAGAAAGUCGACGGUCGAAGGCCAAGCAUCAGGCUACACUUUCCAUCUUUUAAUUAUUGGAGCAUUGGUUUGAGAGUUUCAUUACGUAAAAUGUAGAUCACUUUAUGCAGUUGGCAAUUUAUCUUUCCCAUGAAGUGUGUAAUAUAAGAUUUACGCACAUUAUGAGUUAUAAUUUUAUCCGUAGGAGUCUUUUGUGAUGUGGCAAGAGUAAAGAAGCUCACAUUUAAAUGUAAAAGGCAUGAUGGUCAAUGAAAAUAUUUUGCUUUAAUUUUUUGUGUGAAUAGUUUUCAAGACCUUCUACCACUGUCACCGAAGGGCUUUCGGUGUUCAGCAGAAGUUUAUGGUCAUUUUGCUCAGUCAGAGAGCUUGCUUGCAUGCUGUGGUGUCAGAUACAGUGUUUAGUGAAAGGAAGGCUUCGCUCAUUUGUUUGUCUCCAUCAGCUAAGCACAAGACAGCAAUGGCAUCGCUCAUGUCACCAAUGAGCAUACUGUCAACAGGAAAACAAUCAGAGUAAUAAUGGACAUAGGAAAUGUGCAAUGCUAUUUCACGUUUUGUAUGAAAGAGCCCAUUGAAGUUCCUGAUAAUUAUUCCGUGCCAGAGUAAGGGCGCCCCCUGCCUUCCAAUACAUGUGACGCAGGUAAUUAACUUAAAGUUUAUACAUUUUGGGCGCUUCCCGUGCACGCAGUGUCAAGGUGGUCUAUUUGCUUUGGGGUCUCGAAUGUAGAACCGUUCUUUCUGCAUCUUGCCUUUGUUAAUUUGCAGGCCGGGGAGCACGGCCUAAACCAUGCUCCUAAGUGUGGGAGAGUGUCAGUGCUAGAAAUUCCUAGUAAGUACUGAUCAUUGUAUAAAUAUUUCGCACGAUCUUGGGUCGCAGAAAUUUUAAAAUUUACGGGGCUCAACGUGGUGACUGUGUUCCGUAACAUGAUUUUAUAACGUGCCAUACUGUAUUGGUCAGCAAGUCGUGUUAGCCAUUACUAUAUCCUUUGACCAUCCCAUCCAUUGUAUUAUUUUUUACGGUGCCGUCUUGCCAUUACACUACACCUACCGUUUUCAUAUUUAAUAAACUAGUUCUGCAGUUAGACAACACGUCCGCUUUAAUUAGGGGAUCGUUCCUCCUUCCACCGUCCAAUCACGAGGGGCUGGUCUGCUAUAUUCGACCACCAGUGUUCUAUUAAAAGUCUAUGAAAAUGUAGGAGUAAGAAAUAUCUGGUUUGCAAGUAACUUCGUCAUCAUACACGCGGAUGCUCGCUGAUUCAGGCUCCCAUUGGACAAGCGCUAUUUGUUCGUUAUUUGUUAUUUGUUAGUUAAUUCGUUAUUUGCCGGUUCCCUGAUCCAUGGAAUGUGCAGUGGGCGUGGUUUAAACUGCAGUGACGUUACACGUUAUUAGGAACUGCGUAAGCAGUUGUGAAUGGGAACAAUUAAAGGAACUGGAUGAAACUUAAAGUUAGCAUAGCAAUUGCGUAUUACAGAGAAUCAAAGGAUUUAUAUGAAUGCCACAUUUGACUCGGGCAAAAGUUCAUUCACCCUAACAACCACUUAACACACCCUUACUGAUUGUCACACUCACCAUUGGACCAUCCACCAGGGACACAGCACAAAAUUAGCCGAAGGCAAAUGAAACGUUUAUGCUCAGAAAUUCUGUAGUAACGAGUAGACGCAAGUGCCAAACUACAUCCACUAAGACUAGUGUUAGUGUUCCCGCAGUCUCAGUGUAAUGUAUUGUUACACUGACAGUACGGCGUAUGGCGCUACUGGGUAGUAUCCUAUAAGCUUGGGAUUUUUUAUGAGAGUCAAUCAAUUAAGUACCGAGUAAUUUACCACGCCACAUUUGCAUCACGAUCAACAUGUACCUGGUUUCUUCAGCAAAUCGAGCUGCCGAUUCUCGUUUUUGUUGCAGCUGAUGAUUAUUUCAAUGUUUCCUUGCGUGCAGGGGAACUUUCUGGGGGAAGUGUUUAUCAGCAGCGAACUGAUAAACGAUAGACAUUGGAUGUCAGUUAUGACGAUUUUUUCAACGCAAAUUUGAUAUUUUCAUUCCCUUAUCUUUUUGUGACAAAUUUUUUUCCGGGGGUGGGGUGAGACAAGCGCCCUCUUCCUCCUUUUGUGACCCCUACGUCAUAUUAUUUGUAAUUAUUGGGUGUUUGUCGACAUUGUGAUAUUGUAUGACCAAACUAAAUCAUAAUGGAGAUACAAAUAAAAUGGUGGACUGUUUCUUGACAGUUUUGAAACGUCCUGCACUGCUGCUUUGAAACGGUCGUAAACUGUAAUAUUUACAGGGUGGGCAGCGAGAGGCUGUCUUACGUCUUUCGUAAGAAAAUGAUUAAAUUCAAAUUUAACUCAUCUUUCUGUGGAACGUCUCGGCUUGUUUAAGAAGUCAUCGAAUAAAUUGUCGGGGAUAAAAACUGAAGCUACGUUUGGUUAGCUAUCCCUAGAAUACAAGAAUUGUGCUGUGGUAGAUGUACUUCUACUACACAGGUCGAUUGCCUCUAUACGUAAAACGAUCCGAACAAACGCGGGAAUUAUGCCACACGAGGUAAGUAUGCACGUCGUGCAUACUUCGUCAGUUUGCACAAAUUUAGCAAGUGUGGUGCUUGUUUUCACGUAUUA